UGCGCAGGCGGAACUAUAAGUCAGUGGUGAAAUCCCCCGGCUCAACCGGGGGAACUGCCAUUGAUACUGUAGUUCUAGAGUACAGUUGGGGUAGGCGGAAUGUGUCAUGUAGCGGUGAAAUGCUUAGAUAUAACACAGAACACCGAUCGCGAAGGCAGCUUACCAAGCUAUUACUGACGCUGAGGCACGAAAGCGUGGGGAGCAAACAGGAUUAGAUACCCUGGUAGUCC
rnacentral:rRNA from 1 species